CCUACGGGAGGCAGCAGUGAGGAAUAUUGGUCAAUGGGCGAGAGCCUGAACCAGCCAAGUCGCGUGAAGGAUGAAGGACCUAUGGUUUGUAAACUUCUUUUAUAUGGGAAUAAAGUGAGGAACGUGUGCCGUUUUGUAUGUACCAUAUGAAUAAGCAUCGGCUAACUCCGUGCCAGCAGCCGCGGUAAUACGGAGGAUGCGAGCGUUAUCCGGAUUUAUUGGGUUUAAAGGGUGCGUAGGUGGGUUAUUAAGUCAGCGGUGAAAGUUUGUGGCUCAACCCUAAAAUUGCCGUUGAUACUGGUUGACUUGCGUAUAUUUGCGGUCGGCGGCAUGCGUGGUGUAGCGGU
rnacentral:rRNA from 1 species